rnacentral:rRNA from 1 species
GGCGGACGGGUGAGUAAUGCUUGGGAAUAUGCCUUAUGGUGGGGGACAACAGUUGGAAACGACUGCUAAUACCGCAUAAUGUCUACGGACCAAAGGGGGGGAUCUUCGGACCUCUCGCCAUUUGAUUAGCCCAAGUGAGAUUAGCUAGUUGGUAAGGUAAAGGCUUACCAAGGCGACGAUCUCUAGCUGGUUUGAGAGGAUGAUCAGCCACACUGGGACUGAGACACGGCCCAGACUCCUACGGGAGGCAGCAGUGGGGAAUAUUGCACAAUGGGCGAAAGCCUGAUGCAGCCAUGCCGCGUGAGUGAAGAAGGCCUUUGGGUUGUAAAGCUCUUUCGUCGGGGAAGAAAAUGACUGUACCCGAAUAAGAAGGUCCGGC